CUAAGGCAUAUUCCAGGGUAAGAAUUGGUCUUGACAAAACAAAUAGAUUGGUGGCAUCUCCAAAACUGACUUAUGGAUCUUCACUGGAAAUGGAUUCUUUGCAAGCAAAAAUCUACUUGACAUGUGAACUGGAUCAUACUUCUGUGUAACCUGGUAAAGAAUACAGAGUAAGAGAAAUGUUAUUCCAAAGAGGAGGAGAGUAAGUGUAUCAGAAAAGUACGUCCUGGGAAGCCUGAAAAGUACAAAAAAGGGUGUGGCGUGAUUGAAAAAUAUACCCCAAGACUAGAGUCUGGUAUUUUGUUCAGUUUGCCGAAUCCUAGAGACAGCCUCAGGCUCCCUUGA
rnacentral:lncRNA from 1 species